ACCAGGAUGGCUGAGUGGUUUAGACAUUGGAAUAAAAAUCCAAUGAACAUUAUGUUCUCAUGGGUACCAACCCAUUCCUGGAA
rfam:Salmo salar isolate Sally breed double haploid chromosome ssa27, whole genome shotgun sequence.